UACAGAGGGUGCGAGCGUUAAUCGGAAUUACUGGGCGUAAAGCGUGCGCAGGCGGUCUUUUAAGUCAGAUGUGAAAUCCCCGAGCUUAACCUGGGAACUGCGUUUGAAACUGAAAGGCUAGAGUGUGGCAGAGGGGGGUGGAAUUCCACGUGUAGCAGUGAAAUGCGUAGAGAUGUGGAGGAACACCGAUGGCGAAGGCAGCCCCCUGGGCUAACACUGACGCUCAUGCACGAAAGCGUGGGGAGCAAACAGG
rnacentral:rRNA from 1 species